CAGUUGUGUGCGUGCCAUAAGCAACCUUCGUUUCCCUUUUAUAUCCCCAGUGGGAGCAUCAUUGGGUGAUGAGAGAGGAAAGAAUAGGGGUUGGGAACAGGUGCAGAAAAGCAGCCCUCCAGACAUAAACACACUCCUAAUUGCCCAAUUGUCGUUGCUUGAAAAGACAGUGUUUCUAAUGGGAGAUUUCCUUUGAUGACAACAUCAUGUAUUGUCACAAAAGAAGGUGGACACACGAGUUCUCCAGCUUCUAACAAGAAGGACAAGAGACCUUGAGAGGCGGCAACCACAACAUGGGCCAGUCUCUUCAGAAGAUGACUGGGAAAUAUCAGAUCAAUUAAAAUGAUAAAGAACAUGAAGGAGAGAGACCAGGAUCUUGAUGCUGUCUAUUAACAGCAAGGAACAGGACAUGGAAGGAAGGAGCCUCCCUGAAGAAUGCCCUGCACUGUCUACAGUGACACAACUGGGGUAAAAUGCUGUGGCCAGACUAAAGAUCUUGGAGGAGCAACCAGCCUUCAGGAGCCAGUAUGGAGAGAAGAAUCUGCUUUCUGCAUUUGAAUUUGUUUUGUACAAUAAUUAUGGUUGUGGUUUUAGUUGCAUGUUUGUUUCUGAGAAGGGGGCUAUAGCUAGAAGUUCUGGAAUUCCUUUUACUUGUCCAACUUAAAAUGUUACU